rnacentral:misc_RNA from 1 species
UUUACGAGAAAGUUUAUCAUCGUUAUCAAAUACUCUAAAUAACAAUAUUUCAUUGUCAUUUCCUUAUUAUUCGACACAACGAUAUAUAGAACGAUGUAUGUGUACGAUAGCAAGAGAAAAUUGAUUUUUAAAAGCUGUGCUACACGUGCUAACGAAAUUAAUGAGAAAUAUAGUAUAGAAUUGUACCAGAAGUGUUACUCCUAUUCGAAUUGUUUCGUUCUUGAAACGUAUCGUAAAACUUGUAUACGUAAUAUAAUUUGAAGAAACCAACCGAUCCUUCCGUGAGACAGUCUCGGACAAUGGAAAAUGUGAAAUUCCUUGAGAGUGAAUCAACUUUGAAGCGACUAAAACUAAAGAGAAUCUUCUACUUGUUUCAUGGAUGGACCAGUUGGCAUGUAUUUAGCUUAAUAAAUUCAACAACGUACCUACCUUCUUUUUCUUUUUUUUUUUUUUUUUUUUUAAUUGAAUAAAACAAACAUCUUCUCUUUGGUUACACGCACAUUACGUACAAAGAAGAGAAAGAGCUUCUACGUAAUGAUUUACGAAAGAAUAAUACCUAAUGACAAUACUAGCAUCAACGUAAAAAAUAGAAAAAUUAGAAUAUCUUACCAAAUCCUUCGGAUCCUUGCGUACGUGAUUUUAGCGAUAAAUAUAC